rnacentral:rRNA from 1 species
GAUGAACGCUGGCGGCGUGCCUAAUACAUGCAAGUCGAGCGAAAAGACGAGGAGCUUGCUCCUCUGUCGAUAGCCGCAGAGGGGUGAGUAACACGUGGAUAACCUACCUAUCAGACUGGGAUAAUUUCGGAAAACCGGAGCUUAUACCGGAUAAUCUAUUGAUCCGCAUUGGUGAAUAGUGAAAGACGGUUUUGCUGUAACUUCUAGAUGGAUCUGCGCCGCAUUAGCUGGUUGUUAAGGUAAAGGGUUACCAAGGGAAGGAUGCGUAACCGACCUUAGAGGGGGAUCGGCGACAUGGGAAGUGAGACACGGUCCAUACUCCUGCGGGAGGCAGCAGUAGGGAAUCGUCCGCAAUGGGCGAAAGCUUGACGGAGCAACGGCGCGUGAGUUGUGGAGGUCUUGGGAUCGUAAAACUCUGUUAUGAGUGAAGAACAAAUGUGGAAGUAACUAUGCACGGCUUGACGGUACCUAAUCAGAAAGCCACGGCUAACUACGUG